CCUCCUUUGAAAAAAAGACAGAUUUUGGAGGUAGAAAGUCCAUGUGGCCUUGAGAAAAUCACCUCCUAUGUGUGGGCCUCAGUUUUCCUCAUUUGCAAGAUCUCCCUCCCAGGUUUGUUUUAAAAAUGAAAUGACAACAUGCAAGUGAAAAGCACUUUGUAUAAACAGCUAAAUGUCAUUCAGUGAAAAGUCAGUAAGGCAAGGAAAGAUGGCAAAAGGACAAGCAAAAAAGCUAACCCAUGAGCUGCAUCCUGUUUAAAACGACUACCGGCUCACAGCAAGGAGCAACAGUAACACAUGCUAUCUAUACAACGCCUAAAGAUCUACAGCUAACACAGCUCUCGGAACAGUUCCCUUUAACCCAGGGGUCAUGGUUUGCAUCUUCUUUCCCUUUAUCUGCUAGAGCUGUUUAGUUUUCAGGCUGUGCUGUGCAUCUUGGGGAAGUGGAAUCAGCCUGUGUUAGAAACUUAAUUCUACCCACACUCUUCUGAAGUGGGUGCUGGGUGGUUACGGAAGCGGAGGCACAGUGAUCCCUGGCCCCUGACUCCCAGCCAGUGAGCGGGGGAGCUGAGUGAGAAGCUCUGUCGGGUCCACUGGGAACCCCGCUUUCGGAGGGAGUGGCAACUUCACUGCACCCUGAGCAGAUUCCACUCGGGGAGAGUGAUGUUCAGCCUGGAGAGGGGCGACUGGGAACUCCUUCCCCGAAUGCUGCGGGGCAGUCCCGGCGAUGAGGGCUCGGCAAGGCUUCGCCUCAAACGACUCCCCAGGGCCCCUGUCAACCGACCCCCCAGGAGGCUGCCUCUGUGUCCUUUCUCGUUUUUCUCCACAGCGCUUUUUCCCGACCUCUUUCCUUCAAUCCUCACCUCACCCCCCAGGGCUCUGCCCUCCCCUUUCCCCCCAGCCUCACGCCCCAGUCUUUCUCCCGGCCUGUGACUUAUUCCUGAGUUGACCCCAGCCUCACGCCUUCUGGUGUCCUACCCCUCCCUGCCCUUGGACAACCCUUGGAAAAGGGUUUGGGGAGCGGGUUCUAGAGUCUGACUUUCCGAAUCUAAAUCUGGUGUCUGUUCGUAGGUGCUGCGUGACCCUGGACAGCAACCUUCCUGCAAGCCUCGAAGCACCUGUCUCAUGGAAGCACCGCGAGCCUUGAGGGGACGCUGCUUCACAGGGUCAUGUCACACGAGACCGUACAUCCUCAAUGUACUUGACGCACAUCUGACUCCACCGCUGGGAUGACUCGUCUCCCAUCUCUGGAGAAACACCCUUUUUUGCUGUUGCUUAAGCCAAAUCCUCCAUCUCCUCCCUCCUUCCGACCCUCCGCAGGAACCCAGUCCCAGAGCCACUGUUCCUCUUCUCAGCACCACUUACUGCCUUUUCCACUCUACACUCCCGGAGCCCCCGCUACGUUACAGACGCCCCACCCCUGCAGGAAGCCCGGCUGAAAGCCCGGCGGUCUGGCUUCUUCCUUUGCCUCUGCUUUUCUCCUUCGCAGCCGGCGAGACCCACACCUCUUCCCCGUCGGCCUCCCCGGCUUCCCCUCUCCUCGCUUAUCUCACUAUCCCCCGGCUAUGGGUUCCCUUCCUUCAUCACCCACCUCUCCCUUUCUGACCGUGCCCCUUCCCUCUCUCCGUUCUCCGUCCUUAGAGCGCCCCUGCCCUCCCUGUGUGUCAGGUAGUAUUUGUCCCUCCGAGCAUGAGAAACCCAGGGGUCUCAUUUGCAGUCCAUUUUCAAGCCUCACAGCCUUCCCAGUUUUCAAAUGGUAUUAGCCACUUACACUUUCUCCCUGACUUACGAGCAUCUCAAGUACCUAUCUCAUAGGUUUACAUCUUCUCUUACAAUGCCUUAUAGAGGGCCAAGUACAGAAAACAUACCAAACGAAAAAAGCCCUGAAAAUGUGCAUUGAUUGGUUGAGAGAGGAUCACUCUGCAAGCCUUAGGAAAAGUGUCUGAGUUAAGAACUACAUCAGCCAACAUUUCCCCAUCCUUCUUGGGUGCCAGCCCACGGAGUCAGCACGUGAAAAACCGUAAAGUGAAAGGAGAGUGUCUACGACUGCACCCAACAUCGUACCUGCACUGUUCGCGUGAUCUUCGUGUAACAGCUGUGGGCAGAGAGCGCCCUCAUCAUACCCAGUGUGGCAAGUGUCUCCAUGACUGACCUGUUGCCUUCCCAGAAAUGAGUAAGAGAGCGGGGUACAUUUCUGUUUCACAAAGAAUUCAACUCAGUGUUUACCAAGGCCUCUCGCCUCCUGUUAAGACUCACUCAAGACCUACAGAAUCCUGAAAGUGCUUCCAGAAAUCAGGGGAGGGAGUAGCUCAAGGUUUUCCAGGCUCACAGCCUCUGCCUCCUGCCUGAAGUUCAAUACAAAUCACAGCAAAGAGCACCUACAGUUAUAUUUAGGAACCACAGAGACUAUAGAUCCUUCAGAACAAAGGUAGCAUGCUGAAGGUAAAACUGCAUUUUGCCUUGAAAAAUAAUCAAAAGCAUGAUAAAGCUUGCAUUACUUUCAAAGUGAAAGACUCUCAAGAAAGCUAUGUAUCUCAAAGGUUUAGUGAAUUGUGCUAACCAGAACUAGGAGGCAUCAAGUCUGCAACGCCCUUAUAUUUUAAGGUCCUGUGCUUGUGCCAGCGGGCUACAGGAUGAUAAAUAAAAUACCACUCCUUUCUUCUCCAAUUUACAGGCUAGCGAUUAGGUGACUGAGGUGAGCAGAAUAAUAAUAAUAAUCAGGCAGUGCCAUCGGAGAGGAGCACAGACAGAGGCCCAGACAAAUUCUGGGAAAGAGCUAGAAUGUGAACCUUGACUAAGAUUCUUCUUUAGUCACUUGUUCCACAAAUACUUCUUGAAUUCCUACGCUGUGCCAGCCAUUCUUCUAGGCUCUGUGGGUAGAGUGAUGAAGAAGGCGAGCAAUUUCCCCUCCCUUUUGGGCUUUGCAUUCUGGUGGCGGAGGACAAGAAACACAUAAACUAAUGAUGGGAUGGCAUGGUGGAGGUAGUGGUUAGACCAUGGAGGAAAAGCAGCAGAGCUUGGGGCCAGAGAGUAGCCAAUGGAAGGCCCCUAGGUCCAGUGUGACCUCACUGGGAAGGUGAUCUGUGAGAAAAUCCUGAGCAAAGAGAGGGGGUGAGACACCCGGGUUCUAAACUAAGAGCAUCCCAGGUGAAGGGAGAGUGAGUGCAAAGACUCCAAAAUGAGAGUGAGCUUGGCGUCUCUGAGGAAAGGCCUGCGUGACGGAAAGAUGUAAGAGGGGGUGAAAACAAGGUUGAAAAAGCAGAUGGGGCAGAUCACUGGGCCCUGGGGCAAGGGGGGGCUGUAUUUUCUUCUGCGUGUUUUAGGAAGCCAUUGGAGGGUCUGGAGCAGAGGAAUAACACAGGGGAUCUAUGCUUUUACAAGACUACUGCAUAACUGACUGCUACCCAGAGCUACGCAGGAGACACCAGGAGAUCUCUAAAAUACAGAGUUCUGGGAGUUGCCGCUGUGGCGUAGCAGAAACAAAUUCAACUAGCAUCCAUGAGGACUUGGGUUCGAUCCCUGGCCUCGUUCAGUGGGUUGGGGAUCCGGCACUGCCAUGAGCUGUGGUAUCGGUCACAGAUGUGGCUCGGAUCCCGCGUUGCUGUGGCUAUGGUGUAGGCCAGCAGCUGUAGCUCCAAUUCGAUCCCUAGUCUGGGAACCUCCAUAUGCUACAGAUGUGGCCUUAAAAAACAAAAAAUAAAAUAAAGAGUUUUGUGGAUUGUCAUGGUUCAUCUGGGAUAAUUUCACUAAAGGAUAAAGGCAGAUUCCAGCGAAGAGAAGACACGGAAGGAAGAAACGCUUUUUUUUUUUUUUUUUUUUUUUUUUUGGUCUCUUUGCCUUUUCUAGGGCUGUUCCCUUGGCAUAUGGAGGUUCCCAGGCUAGGGGUCCAAUUGGAGCUGUAGCUGCUGGCCUAUGCCACAGCCACAGCAACGUGGGAUCCAAGCCACGUCUGCGACCCACACCACAGCUAACAGCAAUGCUGGAUCCUUAACCCACUGAGGGAGGCCAGGGAUCGAACCCACAACCUCAUGGUUCCUUGUCGAAUUCAUUAACCACUGUGCCACGACGGGAACUCCAAAGAAGCCAUUUUUGAUGAUGGCAAAUAUAUAUGUGAGGUUUUAGGCACAAGUCAGUAAGAUUCCCAAAGAAUCUUACGCUAACACUAGUUUCAAGGUGUGUGAGUAAAUGUUACACAAGGAAGAGUCGAGUCAGCCUGAGAAACGCUCUGUUUCCCUCUUCACUAGAGCUUUCUCAGAACCUUUGCUGCUCAGUCUCCUGUGGACUCCAAUGGGGCUGAAGGUGUCAGGGUUUCCCAACCUCAUCUGACCGCAGGACUCGUGACAUAAAACACACAUUGGGAAACCACAGCGUAGUGACUUUGGCUUAAAAUCAGCUAAGACUUAUUUGGAGGGAUACAAUGAGUAACAGACCUUGAAGCCAGGGAUCAAGCAUUUUAGGUUAUUAUAAGGCCAAUGUAAAUUUUCCAGAGUUUGAAACCAAGUUCACGACAGAUAAAAACAUGAGAAGUUCACUUUCGGUGUCUAUUGGACCUCGAGGUAGUACAGAGGUCCCCCAAUGUCCCAGGGAGUUUGCAAGAUGACCCACUGGAACACAGGAAGAAAUUAUUAUGUCUGUUUAUACUGUUUUAAAAAACCAUAAAGAAAUUAAUGCCCUACUGCUUAAUACAUGGAUUGAAAGUGACACAUAUGAUUUAUAAAUACAUACACUGGGUUUGGGUGUUCAGAAAUGUUAUUUUUAAGGAUAUAUGUGUGAUCACGAAAAGCUUGGAGGUUGCUAGACUGGAUGACCUGGAGAAGGAAACGUACAGGGCUUACAUCAAGACAUGGUGAUGAAAGUGAAGAGGAAGGAAGAGAGUCAGGAACUUGAUGGGAGCGGCUUUGGGGAGGAGAGGGUGCGGGGGAGUUAGAGCUGGUCAUGCGCGGCCACUACGACGAAAUGACCUGGAGUUGAACAAACGACUCCAAGGCUAGGAGCCCUGCAAAUGGUUGAAAGUUCUUCUGGAGAAAUUGAGAAGGACGAGGACAAGGGGCCAACCACACAGAUUUACAAUGUUGUGCCAAUUUUGCUGUACAGCAAAGUGAUCUACUCAUACACAUAGGUACCCUUCUUUUUCUCAAAUUAUCUUCCAUCAUGUUCCAUCCCAAGAGACUGGAUAUAGUUCCCUGUGCUAUACAGGCUCUCACUGCCUAUCCAUUCCAAAUAUAAGUUUGCAUCUGCUCACCCCCAACUCCAAGUCCACCCCGCUCCCCCCCUCCCAAAUUUUAAAGAUAGUAUCCAAGCCUACUUUUGCAUGAUCCACCCCACUCACUUAGAGCAGGACAACCAAUCACUCAACCAUGUUGCAACACUACCUACUGUACCAUUGUCCAGGACGUAAUGCAUAUUUGAUAGAUGUUGGCAAGAUGAAUGAGUGAGUCAGUGAAUGGAUCCAUGAAAAGCGUACAUGCAGAGGAUUCAGCAAAAGAAGAGAGUAGGAAAAUUUAGGCAAAAAUGAAAAUAAUCUUCUAAAUCAAGAUCCCACACUGUUAUCAUUUCCCUAAAAAAUCAUAAAACCUGAUACUUAUUCAGUUGUUUUUGACAUGUGAUCAAUACAGUUUUCAAAAAAAGCCAUCUCUUGGAGUCCCUGUUGUGGCUGAGUGGGUUAAGAACCCGACUAGUAUCCAUGAGGACAUGGGUUCGAUCCCUGGUCUCACUCAGUGGAUUAAGGAUCCAUCAUUGCCACAAGCUGCAGUGUAGGUCACAGAUGCAACUUGGAUCUGGCAUUGCUGUGGCUGUGGUAUAGGUCAGCAGCUGCAGCUCCAAUUCGACCCCCAGCCUGGGAACCUCCAUAUGCCACAGGUGUGGCCCUAA
rnacentral:lncRNA from 1 species